CAGCCGCCGCGGUAAUACGUAGGGUGCGAGCGUUAAUCGGAUUUACUGGGCGUAAAGCGUGCGCAGGCGGCCCGUUAAGACAGGUGUGAAAUCCCUGGGCUCAACCUAGGAAUUGCGCUUGUGACUGGCGGGCUCGAGUACGGUAGAGGGGGUGGAAUUCCUGGUGUAGCAGUGCAAUGCGUAGAGAUCAGGAGGAACACCGAUGGCGAAGGCAGCCCCCUGGGCCUGUACUGACGCUCAUGCACGAAAGCGUGGGGAGCAAACAGGAGUAGAGACCCUGGUAGUCCACGCCCUAAACGAUGGGUACUAGCCGUUUGGUGCGCGAUAGCGCUGAGUGGCGAAGCUAACGCGUGAAGUACCCCGCCUGGGGAGUACGGCCGCAAGGUUGAAACUUAAAGGAAUUGGCGGG
rnacentral:rRNA from 1 species